AACUUGUCCAUGUAGACCAAUUUGGGUUUCCAAUCUCUCCAAAAGAAUGUGGUGAUAGAUGGAAUCAAAAGCACAGCCUCGGACUGACGCCAUUAAAAGGUAAUUUACCACCUUCACGAGUGCCGUCUCAGUGCUAUGAUGGGGUCUAAAACCAGACUGAAGCGUUUCGAAGACAUUGUUUGACUUCAGGAAGGCAGUGAGUUGCUGCGCAACAGCUUUUUCUGAAGUUUUUGAGAGGAAUGGGAGAUUCGAUAUAGGCCGAUAGUUUUUUUAUUUUCUGGGUCAAGGUUUGGCUUUUUCAGGAGCGGCUUUAUUACUGCCUGUUACGUACACCACUUGGCAGAGGGAACGCAACACCCUGCUACAACUCAACUCCCCAUGGAGUGAAAAAGCCCCCCACCAUCCUAUCCCCAAACGAAAACCCACUCAUCCAAUCCCACUGGAGAUGGCACCUCCCAUCAGGAAAUGUUUUGAAUAUCCCCGUGGCCCCAAAGCUCCAAAAAGAAUGGUUGUUGCCUCCUCCACAUGCUCACCCAAUGUACAAAUUCUGUUGAACCGGAUCAACUGGGAUUUAAUUAUCGAUCUAAAGGUUGGCAAAGGCUGGAGCAAACUUCUUCCCCAUAGCCGUUCCAUGGAUCUGAAGUGAUGCCUUUCGGCUUGCGGAAUGGUCCAGCCACCUUCCUGAGGCUGAUGAAUCGGGUGGUCUCAGGUCUGGAAGGGUGUGCCGUGUAUUUGGACGACGUGGUCGUCUACUCAGCCUCCUGGGAGAAGCAUGUCUGGAGAGUGCAAGCCCUGUUCGAAAGACUGGUGUGGGCCAGGUUGACUAUCAAUUUGGCAAAGUGUGAGUUUGCCAAAGCUACAGUCACAUACCUAGGCAAGGUUGUUGGUCAGGGUGUUUUCUGUCCCGUGGAAGCCAAGGUCCAGGCUGUGAAGCAGUUCCCACAGCCCUCCACAAAGAAAGAACUGAUGGGCUUCCUGGGAAUGGCGGGGUACUACCGUGCUUUCUGUAAACUUUCGGUAGUAGUGUCCCCACUGAGCAAUCUGUUGAAGGCCAAGGCUGAAUUUAUCUGGUCCACCCAGUGUCAAGAGGCAUUUGAUGCAGUUAAGGCUCUUUUGUGUUUGGCACCCGUGUUGGCAGCACCAAAUUUUGGGAAACCUUUCAAAUUGCAGGUAGACGCCAG
rnacentral:lncRNA from 1 species